GAUCAAAUCAAGCGCGAGAAGGGCGUUUGGUGAAUGCCUUGGCAGUAAGAGGCGAUGAAGGACGUGAUACUCUGCGAUAAGCCAUGAGGAGCUGAGAAUAAGCUUUGAUCCAUGGAUUUCCGAAUGGGGCAACCCACUUGAUUGUUUCCAGUUAUCGCGCAGCGAUAACCACUCUGUGCCUGCUUUAUGCAGGUUGGGGCGGUUGCUGUGUGGUUAUCUGGAUGCAAAACCAAGUACUUAAAACCUGAAUACAUAGGGUUUUAAGAGCAAACCCGGAGAACUGAAACAUCUAAGUACCCGGAGGAAAGGACAUCAAUUGAUACUCCCCUAGUAGCGGCGAGCGAACGGGGACUAGCCGAGCCUUGAGAGUGACCAGAACAUGUUGGGAAGCAUGGCCAUAGCGGGUGACAGCCCCGUAUGGGAAGCUCGAUAGGACGUAUUAAGUAGGGCGGGACACGUGAAAUCCUGUCUGAAGAUCGGAGGACCACCUUCGAAGGCUAAGUACUCCUUACUGACCGAUAGUGAACCAGUACCGUGAGGGAAAGGUGAAAAGCACCCCGACGAGGGGAGUGAAACAGUACCUGAAACCGAACGCCUACAAUCAGUCGGAGCUUGACUGGACUCUAAUAACAAUCUGCUGCAACAACGUGAUCAGCGUAUCACGGAGGGCGGCAUGUCGGAUCUUGCAUUUAUAACGGAUGGCACAUUUGCAGUUUUGGGACUUCUGGUCGGUUUAAUCGACAUGGGGGCCAAUCACUGUCCGAAUGACGGCUGUCUGGCCAAGAACGAGCGCACGCCUUAUACAGGUAUCUCGGUUGGCGACACGGUUUUCCAAGAAAACAUGGUCGGCGAAGAGCUGUAUAUUCGGCGCGAAACCCGGCAUGCGAAUGGUCCCUUUCAAUUGAUGUACGGCAUCUCGGCAUCGUCAGAUGGUGAGCUGUGGGCCGGUUUGGGCCAUGGCUACACAUGGACGAACCGCCAAGAGAACGUAUUUGUGCAGCUUCAUGCGAUGGCUGGCCUUUAUGAAGAGGGCAGCGGCGCAGAUCUCGGCGGCCCGAUCCAGUUUCGAUCGGGGAUCGACGUGGGAUAUCAGAACAAGGAAGGCGUUCGUAUGAGCCUUGGGGUCGACCAUCGGUCGAACGCGGGGCUUUAUAGUUCGAACCCCGGCCUUGAAACGGUGCACUUUCGAGUGUCCCUGCCCACAAAAUGAUCGAGCCGGCCUCAAGUCGCGCGAAGCGCGGUAGGCCACAAAACUGGCCUCAAGUAGCGCGAAGCGCGGUAGGCCAACGAAAAUGAUUGUUAUCAGUGUCCAGUCUUGUGACGGCGUACCUUUUGUAUAAUGGGUCAUCGACUUGGUCUAUCUAGCAAGCUUAAGCCGUUAGGUGUAGGCGCAGCGAAAGCGAGUCUUAAUAGGGCGUCGAGUUAGAUGGAUCAGACCCGAAACCGAGUGAUCUAGGCAUGACCAGGCUGAAGGUAAGGUAACACUUACUGGAGGGCCGAACCCACAUCUGUUGAAAAAGAUCGGGAUGAGUUGUGCCUAGGGGUGAAAGGCCAAUCAAACUCGGAGAUAGCUGGUUCUCUGCGAAAUCUAUUUAGGUAGAGCGUCAUCCGAAUACCCUCGGGGGUAGAGCACUGGAUGGGUAAUGGGGCCCCACAGGCUUACUGAUCCUAACCAAACUCCGAAUACCGAGGAGUACUAGAUGGCAGACACACAGCGGAUGCUAACGUCCGUUGUGGAGAGGGAAACAACCCUGACCUACAGCUAAGGCCCCUAAUUCAUGGCUAAGUGGGAAAGCAGGUGGGACGACCAAAACAACCAGGAGGUUGGCUUAGAAGCAGCCAUCCUUUAAAGAUAGCGUAACAGCUCACUGGUCUAAAUAAGUUGUCCUGCGGCGAAGAUGUAACGGGGCUCAAGCCAUGAGCCGAAGCUUAGGAUGCCGUAAGGCAUGGUAGCAGAGCGUAGUGUGACAUGGUUUCUAUCCUCUUUAGUGUCCUUCGGGGCACCUUGGAGGAAAAGAAAUCUUCGAUGAAGCUGGGGCGUGAGCCAUCCGGUGGAGAGAUCACUAGUGAGAAUGAUGACAUGAGUAGCGACAAACAGGGUGAGAGACCCUGUCGCCGAAAGUCCAAGGGUUCCUGCUUAAAGCUAAUCUGAGCAGGGUAAGCCGACCCCUAAGGCGAGGCCGAAAGGCGUAGUCGAUGGGAACCAGGUUAAUAUUCCUGGGCCAGAUGGAAGUGACGGAUCUCGAAGGUUGUUCGUUCUUAUUGGAUUGAACGGGCCGCUUAGAGGUUCCUGGAAAUAGCUCCAUCGCUAGAUCGUACCCUAAACCGACACAGGUGGACUGGUAGAGAAUACCAAGGCGCUUGAGAGAACGAUGUUGAAGGAACUCGGCAAAAUACCUCCGUAAGUUCGCGAGAAGGAGGCCCAGUUUCUACGCAAGUAUUGGCUGGGGGCACAAACCAGGGGGUGGCGACUGUUUACUAAAAACACAGGGCUCUGCGAAGUCGCAAGACGACGUAUAGGGUCUGACGCCUGCCCGGUGCCUGAAGGUUAAAAGGAGGAGUGAGAGCUCUGAAUUGAAGCCCAGGUAAACGGCGGCCGUAACUAUAACGGUCCUAAGGUAGCGAAAUUCCUUGUCGGGUAAGUUCCGACCUGCACGAAUGGCGUAACGACUUCCCCGCUGUCUCCAACAUCGACUCAGCGAAAUUGAAUUGCCUGUCAAGAUGCAGGCUUCCCGCGGUUAGACGGAAAGACCCCGUGCACCUUUACUACAGCUUCGCACUGGCAUCAGGAUUGUGAUGUGCAGGAUAGGUGGUAGGCUUUGAAGCAGGAACGCUAGUUCUUGUGGAGCCUCCCUUGAGAUACCACCCUUCGCACUCUUGAUGUCUAACCGCGGUCCGUUAUCCGGAUCCGGGACCCUGCGUGGCGGGUAGUUUGACUGGGGCGGUCGCCUCCUAAAGCGUAACGGAGGCGCGCGAAGGUUGGCUCAGAGCGGUCGGAAAUCGCUCGUUGAGUGCAAUGGCAGAAGCCAGCCUGACUGCAAGACUGACAAGUCGAGCAGAGUCGAAAGACGGCCAUAGUGAUCCGGUGGUCCCGAGUGGAAGGGCCAUCGCUCAACGGAUAAAAGGUACGCCGGGGAUAACAGGCUGAUACUGCCCAAGAGUCCAUAUCGACGGCAGUGUUUGGCACCUCGAUGUCGGCUCAUCUCAUCCUGGGGCUGGAGCAGGUCCCAAGGGUACGGCUGUUCGCCGUUUAAAGAGGUACGUGAGCUGGGUUUAGAACGUCGUGAGACAGUUCGGUCCCUAUCUGCCGUGGGUGUAGGAUACUUGAGAGGAGUUGCCCCUAGUACGAGAGGACCGGGGUGAACGAUCCACUGGUGGACCUGUUGUCGUGCCAACGGCAGUGCAGGGUAGCUAUGAUCGGACAGGAUAACCGCUGAAGGCAUCUAAGCGGGAAGCCCCCCUCAAAACAAGGUAUCCCUGAGGGCCGUGGUAGACCACCACGUCGAUAGGCCGGAGAUGUAAGCGCAGCAAUGCGUUCAGUUGACCGGUACUAAUUGCCCGAUAGGCUUGAUUUGAUCCAG
rnacentral:rRNA from 1 species